rnacentral:rRNA from 1 species
UACGGAGGGUGCAAGCGUUAUCCGGAUUCACUGGGUUUAAAGGGUGCGUAGGCGGGCAGGUAAGUCAGUGGUGAAAUCCUGGAGCUUAACUCCAGAACUGCCAUUGAUACUGAAGAUCUUGAGUCCGGGAGAGGUGAGUGGAACUGCGAGUGUAGAGGUGAAAUUCGUAGAUAUUCGCAAGAACACCAGUGGCGAAGGCGGCUCACUGGCCCGGUACUGACGCUGAGGCACGAAAGCGUGGGGAGCAAACAGG